rnacentral:lncRNA from 1 species
UUUUUUAAGUACAUUAACUUAGUGCAUUUUAUAAAUUUGGAUCACAAUUAUUGAGUUUCAAUAACUCAGGUAUAUUUCUAAUCAUGUACAAUUGUUUAUUCAUUAUUUGACCUGGGCCUUAUUAGCAGCAAAAAAACAAUCAGACCUUUUUUGCUCAAAAAGAAUGUCCAAUGUGAUUUUUCGUACAGGUGUGGAUAGAAACCCAACUUUGACCAUAACAAGUGCCUGUGAUGAGAAACCAGUCUUUAAAUGAAUGUUGUGUGAAUUUAAAAAAAAAAAUAUUAGAAUUUGAUAAAGCACAAGAACUUUCAAACAUCAAUUUCAAAAUUAUAUUGAGUCUGUAGUUUGCUAAAACCUACAUUUACUGUAGUUAUAUAUUAGUGUGGGAGUGUUAAACAAUUAUACUCAGAGUUGUCAAUUUUCUACUAUCUACAUUUAAAAAUUAAUGGAAAUAUGUUACAAAGAUGAG